rnacentral:rRNA from 1 species
CGUAUGGUUCUAUUUUGUUGGUUUCUAGGACCAUCGUAAUGAUUAAUAGGGACGGUCGGGGGCAUCAGUAUUCAGUUGUCAGAGGUGAAAUUCUUGGAUUAACUGAAGACUAACUACUGCGAAAGCAUUUGCCAAGGACGUUUUCAUUAAUCAAGAACGAAAGUUAGGGGAUCGAAGAUGAUCAGAUACCGUCGUAGUCUUAACCAUAAACUAUGCCGACUAGGGAUCGGGUGGCGCUACUUUGCCCACUCGGCAUCUUACGAGAAAUCAAAGUUUUUGGGUUCUGGGGGGAGUAUGGUUGCAAGGCUGAAACUUAAAGGAAUUGACGGAAGGGCACCACCAGGAGUGGAGCCUGCGGCUUAAUUUGACUCAACACGGGGAAACUCACCAGGUCCAGACGUAAUAAGGAUUGACAAGUUAGAGACUUCUCUUGAUCUUACGGGUGGUGGUGCAUGGCCGUUUUUAGUCCUUGGAGUGAUUUGUCUGCUUAAUUGCGAUAACGGACGAGACCUUAACCUGCUAAAUAGGGCUGCGAGCAUCUGCUCGUGGGCUCUUCUUAGAGGGACUAUGGGUAUCAAACCCAUGGAAGUUUGAGGCAACAACAGGUCUGUGAUGCCCUUAGACGUUCUGGGCCGCACGCGCGCUACACUGACGGAGCCAGCAAGUACAACCUUGGUCGAGAGGCCCGGGUAAUCUCGUGAAACUCCGUCGUGCU